ensembl:lncRNA
CAUAACAGACAUAGUUUAAUGUUAAAUUAAAGGCAUUCAUUGGUCAAUCCACAUCUUUAGGGAGGUCUACAUCAAUGGCAAUGAGCUGCAGUGUGUGGGGGUGCCACUGAGUUGCUGAAACCUGUGGCUGAAAACAGCCAAAAACUGGCAGUGAUCCAAAACAGGUCCACAUCUAUCACAGUAUAGUUAAGUUCUCCUGUUGCCUGACCGAACUGGAUCUCGGUGAGAAUCACAUCGGAGAGGACGGUGGGAAAGUGCUUUUAGAGGCCCUGAGAGACAGACAAGUAGGUAUGGAUUUAUAAAAAUAUGGACAUACGACAUUAAUAAUGCAGCUGUGACCUCAUGCAAAGAUGUUACAUUAUGAAGUUAUUCCACGCAUGAAAUGUGAAGUUACUCAUAUACCAUUUCUGAGAUCAAAACUGUAUCCCACUUAAGCGGAUGGCAGUUAGGGUAAAAUGAGAUUGUAAAUAAUUUUUCCGUCUUUUUGACAGAUAAACUAUCUCCAGUAA